UCAAGCUACAAAGAGCAUACGGUGGAUGCCUUGGCGCACAGGGCCGAAGAAGGACGUGGUAAGCUGCGAAAAGCUACGGGGAGCCGCAAACAGGCCUCGAUCCGUAGAUAUCCGAAUGGGGCAACCCGGCGGGGGCGAACCCCCGUCACCGUCUACUGAAUUCAUAGGUAAGCGGAGGGCACCCGGCGAACUGAAACAUCUUAGUAGCCGGAGGAAAAGAAAGAAACAUCGAACCCCCCAGUAGCGGCGAGCGAACAGGGGCGAGCCUAAACCAGCAAUCUUCGGAAUGCUGGGGUUGCGGGACUCUCAUCAGAUUUGUCAGUAGACUUAAUCGAAGCGGUCUGGAAAGGCCCGACACAGAAGGUAACAGCCCUGUAGAUGAAAAGUCCAACACAAACGAGAGAAUCCCAAGUACCACGGGACACGAGAAACCCCGUGGGAAUCAGGGGGGACCACCCCCCAAGGCUAAAUACCCCGUGCGACCGAUAGUGAACAAGUACCGUGAGGGAAAGGUGAAAAGCACCCCGGGAGGGGAGUGAAAUAGCACCUGAAACCGUAUGCUUACAAACAGUCAGAGCACUAUACUCGAGGUUCGAGGUUCGAGGUUCGAAGUUAGAAAAAGGCAAAAGAUUUAAAAAAAGAAAAUCGCAUAGCGAUUUCCGACUUAAUCGAACAUCGAAUUUCGAAUCUCGAACUUCGAGCAGUGUCAUGGCGUACUUUUUGUAGAACGGACCGGCGAGUUACAUCCAGCGGGCAAGGUUAAGCGUGAGACACGCGGAGCCGCAGCGAAAGCAAGUCUUAAUAGGGCGAAGUUAGUCCGUUGGAGUAGACCCGAAACCGGGUGAUCUACCCAUGUCCAGAGUGAAGCUCUAGUAAAAUAGCGUGGAGGCUCGAACCGACCGUCGUUGAAAAGGCGGCGGAUGAGGUGUGGGUAGGGGUGAAAUGCCAAUCGAACCCGGAAAUAGCUGGUUCUCCCCGAAAUAGCUUUAGGGCUAGCCUUGAGAAUAAAUACCGGAGGUAGAGCACUGACUGGGCUAGGGGUCUUCACCGAUUACCGAACCCAAUCAAACUCCGAAUGCCGGAUAUUUUAAUCUCAGGAGUCAGACUGCGGGUGCUAAGAUUCGUAGUCGAAAGGGAAACAGCCCAGACCGCCGGCUAAGGUCCCCAAGACAGGCUAAGUGGAAAAGGAUGUGGAGUUGCCCGGACAACCAGGAUGUUGGCUUAGAAGCAGCCACCAUUUAAAGAAUGCGUAAUAGCUCACUGGUCAAGUGGCUCUGCGCCGAAAAUGUAACGGGGCUAAAGCCUGUCACCGAAGCCGCGGACUACUCGAGGUUCGAUGUUCGAGAUUCGAAAUUCGAAAGGAAAAAGCAAAUGAUAACAAGUUACCAUGAUCUUGAAGUCUAUAAGAGGUCAUAUGGACUCGCAUUAAAAGUCCACAAAAUGUCAUUGCAGUUUCCUAGACAUGAAAUGUAUGAGAUUGGCAGCCAAUUGCGAAGAGCCGCCAUAUCAAUACCGCUAAAUAUAGCAGAGGGAUAUGGUAGAAAGAAGCAUGUUAACGAUUUUAAAAACUUCUUAAUAAAUGCAUUAGGCUCGUGCAAUGAAGUAGCAGUGUUAAUCGAGAUGGUUAAAGAUUUAGGAUAUGAAAUUACAGAUUAUGAAGAACUAAAAGAAGAAUAUGACCAUCUAGGUAGACAGCUAAACAGGCUCAUACAAACAUGGAAAUAAUCGAACUUCGAACAUCGAACUUCGAGAAGUGGUAGGGGAGCGUUCUGUAGGCGUCGAAGCUAUACCGUAAGGAGUAGUGGAGCGUACAGAAGUGAGAAUGCCGGUAUAAGUAAACGAAAAGGCAGGUGAGAAUCCUGCCCGCCGAAAACCUAAGGUUUCCUGGGGAAGGCUCGUCCGCCCAGAGUAAGCCGGGGCCUAAGCCGAGGCGUAAAAGCGUAGGCGAUGGAGAAUCGGUUGAGAAUCCGAUGCCACUUACAGCCGUUUGGAGGAUGGGGUGACGCAGGAGGGUAAGCUAAGCGUGCGAUUGGAAAAGCACGUCCAAGGUCGUAGGGUGAAAGGCAGGCAAAACCGUCUUUCAAGAAGCCCGAGAACUGAUGGGGAGCGAAAAAAAGUAGCGAAGUAGCCGAACCCAAACUGUCAAGAAAAACCCCUAACGAGGCUGGUAAGUGCCCGUACCGUAAACCGACACAGGUAGGUGGGGUGAGAAUCCUAAGGCGCGCGAGAGAACCCUCGUUAAGGAACUCGGCAAAAUAACCCCGUAACUUAGGGAGAAGGGGUACCCCGCCAGCGUGAAAACUUUUACAGACGUAGCGCGAGGGGGUCGCAGAGAAAAGGCCCAAGCGACUGUUUAUCAAAAACACAGGUCCCUGCUAAAUUGAAAGAUGACGUAUAGGGGCUGACGCCUGCCCGGUGCUGGAAGGUUAAGGGGAGAGCUUAGUGGGAAACUGCGAAGGUUUGAACCGAAGCCCCAGUAAACGGCGGCCGUAACUAUAACGGUCCUAAGGUAGCGAAAUUCGGGUAAGUUCCGACCCGCACGAAAGGCGUAACGAUUUGGGCACUGUCUCAACGAGGGACUCGGUGAAAUUGUAAUGCCGGUGAAGAUGCCGGCUACCUGCGACAGGACAGAAAGACCCCGUGGAGCUUUACUGCAACCUGACAUUGGGUUUUGGUAUUGAAUGUACAGGAUAGGUGGGAGGCAUGGAAAUCAGGACGCUAGUCUUGGUGGAGCCAACGUUGGGAUACCACCCUUUGAGUAUUGAAGUUCUAACACAGUCCCGUGAAUCCGGGACGUGGACAGUAUCAGGCGGGCAGUUUGACUGGGGCGGUCGCCUCCCAAAGAGUAACGGAGGCGCCC
rnacentral:rRNA from 1 species